GCCAGUACCUAUAGCACGUUCAAUGCAGCAGUUUCUAAUAGAUCACUGAAGUUAAGCAAUGUUGCGCGUGAUUAGUAUCCGUGUCGGUGACCAUCUGGACAAUCCCGUGCUGGCC
rnacentral:rRNA from 1 species